GCGGGAGUGGCGGAAUUGGCAGACGCGCCAGACUUAGGAUCUGGUGCCGCAAGGCGUGUGGGUUCGAGUCCCUCCUCCCGCA
rnacentral:tRNA from 4 species